rnacentral:rRNA from 1 species
AGCGAACGCUGGCGGCAGGCCUAACACAUGCAAGUCGAGCGCCCCGCAAGGGGAGCGGCAGACGGGAGAGUAACACGUGGGAACGUACCCUUCAGUUCGGAACAACCCAGGGAAACUUGGGCUAAUACCGGAUACGUCCGAAAGGAGAAAGAUUUAUCGCUGAAGGAUCGGCCCGCGUCUGAUUAGCUAGUUGGUGGGGUAACGGCCCACCAAGGCGACGAUCAGUAGCUGGUCUGAGAGGAUGAUCAGCCUCACUGGGACUGAGACACGGCCCAGACUCCUACGGGAGGCAGCAGUGGGGAAUAUUGGACAAUGGGCGCAAGCUUGAUCCAGCCAUGCCGCGUGGAUGAUGAAGGCCCUAGGGUUGUAAGGUCCUUUCGGCGGGGAAGAUAAUGACGGUACCCGCAGAAGAAGCCCCGGCUAACUUCGUGCCAGCCGCCGCCGUAA